GGAAUUUUCCGCAAUGGGCGAAAGCCUGACGGAGCAACGCCGCGUGAGGGAUGAAGGCCUCUGGGCUGUAAACCUCUUUUCUCAAGGAAGAAGAUCUGACGGUACUUGAGGAAUAAGCCACGGCUAAUUCCGUGCCAGCAGCCGCGGUAAUACGGGAGUGGCAAGCGUUAUCCGGAAUUAUUGGGCGUAAAGCGUCCGCAGGCGGCCCUUCAAGUCUGCUGUUAAAAAGUGGAGCUUAACUCCAUCAUGGCAGUGGAAACUGUUGGGCUUGAGUGUGGUAGGGGCAGAGGGAAUUUCUAGUGUAGCGGUGAAAUGCGUAGAUAUUAGAAAGAACACCGGUGGCGAAGGCGCUCUACUGGAUCAUUACUGACACUCAGAGGCGAAAGCUAGGGGAGCGAAAGGGAUUAGAUACCCCAGUAGUC
rnacentral:rRNA from 1 species